GACCAUAUCAAGUUGAAACACCGGUUCCCGUACGAUCACCGAAGUUUAAGCAAUGUCGAUCCUAGUCAGUAUCUAGAGGGUUGACCGCUUGAGAAUAUCAAGUGUUGUAAG